UUGAUUUUUCUUGUGUUUUGCAAAUUGUA
rnacentral:piRNA from 1 species